UUCCUCGCCUCGCUGUUGUAAAAUGGCUAGUUAGAAAGUGUGAGAGAGACAAUGAUCGUCUCUGCAUGACGCCGCUGGGACCCCACUUCAGUCCCCCGACACCUCACGCAGUUUCAGGCAAUUGGCGAAUGUUUAGAUGUUUCUGUCACGGCUGUUGAAAGGAGAGGACCAAGGUGCAGCGUGUGUUUAACGAGAUAAUCCCUACUCCUGUGGACUUCAUGAAAAAAUGCAUUAACUUAAUCCAUGACAACAG